UACGUAGGGAGCAAGCGUUGUUCGGAUUUACUGGGCGUAAAGGGCGAGUAGGCGGCCUCCUAAGUCAGACGUGAAAUCCCCCGGCUUAACCUGGGAACUGCGUCUGAUACUGGGAAGCUUGAGUAUGGGAGAGGGAAGUGGAAUUUCCGGUGUAGCGGUGAAAUGCGUAGAUAUCGGAAGGAACAUCAGUGGCGAAGGCGACUUCCUGGACCAAUACUGACGCUCAGGUGCGAAAGCGUGGGGAGCAAACAGG
rnacentral:rRNA from 1 species